AUCCCAUAGUGUGGGCACUGUUGCAAUAAACUCUUAUAUCGAUCCCAUGACUCAAACAAUGAUUCACCAUCCUUUUGCAUGAAAUUUGUAAGAUGUCGCAUAUGAGUGGU